AACCCCUCCUCCCCGUUUGAGUCACUUUCCCCUUCCCUCGCCUCAAAGGCUCAAACCCUCAUCUCGUCGUCAGGAGAGAAAGAGAGGCUUUCGGAGCAAGCGGCCAUGAAUAACCUCAUCGUAGCCGGUCGCGCCGUGGGGCUCGCCUCGCACUUCUUCAUAUGGCUGCUCGGCGCGUGCCUGCUCGCCAUCGUCAUCGGGCGCCGCGCCGGCGGCGAGGAUUCCCCCAUGGCGAUGGCGGGGAGAGAGGUCGGCCUCGUCACAUUCAUCCUCUGUGGACUGCUCUGUAUCCUCCACAUGGUGCUGCUGACGCUAGGCCUGGUGGCGGAGCCUAGAAAGCUGUGAAUAGUACAAGGAUCCUGCUCCUGCAGUGGCGUGGUGGAGGUUAUUUUCCAAUGUGUGCUGUUUUUGCCGUGCUAUGCCUCAUUAUGCACAUCGGUUCUCAGAUGGAGGGUGAAAACGGCCAGCUUCUUGUCGAUGUGGGGAUAUCUGGUAUUGGGGCAUUGUUGGUGUUCAUUAUCAGCCCCACUCUGGCACUAAGGCUGUACAAUUACUGAGUUGCUGGGAUGUGGAAAUAUCUUAUUCGGUUACGGCAAGAAGAUGAUGUUUUUUUUGACCAAAAAGAAGAUGAUGGUUAAUCAGCCAACUACUACAAGUUGCUUAUUUUCUAAAUCUAAUCCUGGACGUUCACUUGUCUAACGCACUUACUGCUGCUAUGCCUGCGCUGCACACUAGUAGCUGUUUCUGAAGAGGUUUUAUCAUUGUUGGCAGCGGCGACCGUUUGCCAGUGAUUUAUGUUUACUGAAGAAGUUUUCUCGAUAGUCGAUAAUGCCUGGAGUUAUUUUGGGCUGAACCCUGAGCUGCUUGAGCCAAAACAACAACUGUUAGUUGAUUCUUAAUGUAGUUUCAAGUGCUUUAAGGCUCGUCCGCUUGUUCAUGGGUUUUGUUUUUGUUACGAGCUCUGAAACAGCGUUAUCUUGAAUACUUCUGAUUUUUAGUCCAAA